AUCGCUUUGAUCGUAACGAAGCAAAUGAUCUGAUUUGGGAUAUGAAGGCAGCAACACACCAUGCUCAAUUGUAAAUCGUACGCUGUAACAAAAUCCUUCAAUUAAUUCCAAUAAAACAAAAAAAUUUGGAGAUUCUCAUGCAUAACACUUCUCAGUAAACAAGAAUAUGAUAAGACUAUAUAUACAUAUAUUCUUGUAAUCUUGUUUUGGAGUUGUUAAUUUUGUUAAGUUCAUUUUAUUAAGAUUGUUUAUUAGUUAAUUUAUAGGUACGACCCUAGCCUAAUCACAACAUAUAAGGG
rnacentral:lncRNA from 1 species